GCCAGACACUCCGCGGAGGGGAAAACGGUGUCGUCAUCUUCAGUGGCCAUCCACCAAGGGAAAAGCGAGAAAACCACCACCAGCACCACCCACCAUGAACGUAAAGAGAGGAGCAGGGAAGGACUCGCAUAGGAUUUUGGAACAGCCGAUGGAGACGUCGUACCGAACUCUCUCGGAGAAGGGAAGCUUGGAGAAUGCCUGGCGCCAGCGCCUUAAUGGAGCGUGGAGCGCACGCUCUGAGGGUCAGGUAGAGGAGGGCAUGUGCAAGAAGCCCCAUGGCCAAUGAAUCCGUGCGACCUGAUUGGAUCCAACCUGAUAAAGUCAAGUUGACAUCAAAGGUUGAUCUGGAUGCUAUCGAACAUAAUGAAUGUAGGGUCAUCAUGCUAUUUAAACUUCUCUUUCACUUCACAUUGAACUCUAGCCCUGACCUCGUCUUCUUCUUGUCUUCAUGCUCUGUUUCUCUUCCGCAUGAAUUGGUUUUAGAUCUGCGGAGCAAGCCAGCGAGAUGGCAUCACAACCUUCCUUAAAUCACACAAGAAAUCUCUCUUUACGAAGCCCAUCUACAUUACAUAUAGUACCGCCCAACCUGAGCUCACAACCCUCCCUCGUUUCAAGAAGUUCACCGCCACAUUCUUCAUCUCUCGCCUUUCACAUUUGCUCCCUUUCUGUAACAAUGGCGUCCCGGCACUAGAGAAAGUGCUACUAGUCCAAGCAGCAAGAAAGAGGAGCGAAGGAGGACGCUUGAGAGCUAAGGUUCACCAUCUUCCUACCAACACCUUAGGCCCCUUGGUAGAUCUUUACUUGAAAAUCUCAAUUGUGGGUCUUAAACUAAAGAAUUUUGUAUUUGUUUUCGUAGCCUUUUUCGAAUGAAAUUCUUCUUUCCUUUUAAGGAUUUCAAAUGAAAAUGUUAGUUGCAGCAGUUGAACCUUA